CUGCUGCCUUCCGUAGGAGUCUGGGCCGUGUCUCAGUCCCAAUGUGGCCGUCCGCCCUCUCAGGCCGGCUACCGAUCGUCGCCUUGGUGGGCCGCUGCCCCGCCAACCAGCUAAUCGGACGCGGACCCAUCGCAUGCCGGGAUUUCUCCCUUUUCCGCACCGCGCCAUGCGGCGCCGUGCGCAUAUGCGGUAUUAGCAGCUGUUUCCAGCUGGUAUCCCCCUGCAUGCGGCAGGUUGU
rnacentral:rRNA from 1 species